UAAAGAUUCAUCUGAUACUGGGCAGUGAGAGAGCGUGUGAAGUGUUAUAGACGCAGACGCCAAGGACAUGGAGUAAGUGAGCAGAUUGUUAUGCAACCGAGCAUUUGAAUACCAUCUUGUUAGGUAAUGGACCC
ensembl:ncRNA C47G2.14 ncRNA